GAUGAACGCUAGCUACAGGCUUAACACAUGCAAGUCGAGGGGAAACGACAUCGAAAGCUUGCUUUUGAUGGGCGUCGACCGGCGCACGGGUGAGUAACGCGUAUCCAACCUGCCCAUCACUUGGGAAUAACCUUGCGAAAGUAAGACUAAUACCCAAUGACAUCCCACGAAGACACCUGAAUGGGAUUAAGGAUUUAUCGGUGAUGGAUGGGGAUGCGUCUGAUUAGCUUGUUGGCGGGGUAACGGCCCACCAAGGCAACGAUCAGUAGGGGUUCUGAGAGGAAGGUCCCCCACAUUGGAACUGAGACACGGUCCAAACUCCUACGGGAGGCAGCAGUGAGGAAUAUUGGUCAAUGGGCGAGAGCCUGAACCAGCCAAGUAGCGUGCAGGAUGACGGCCCUAUGGGUUGUAAACUGCUUUUAUAAGGGAAUAAAGUGGGUCUCGUGAGACUUUUUGCAUGUACCUUAUGAAUAAGGACCGGCUAAUUCCGUG
rnacentral:rRNA from 1 species